rnacentral:rRNA from 1 species
UAAAAAGGGGACGGCGUCAUGUAGUCAGCGCGUAGUGACGGAUUACUGCGCAGAGGGAACGGCUUAGGCCAGCACCGAGUUGAUGAGUUGACGUCCAAGAAAAGCCGAAGUAUGCAACCCGUACCGUAAACCGACACAGGUAGUCGAGGAGAGUAUCCUAAGGUGCUCGAGUGAUUCGUGGCUAAGGAACUAGGCAAAAUGGUCUCGUAACUUCGGGAGAAGAGACGCUCUAAUUAAAUUUGGAGCCGCAGUGAAGAGGCCCAGGCGACUGUUUAGCAAAAACACAGGACUCUGCUAACUCGAAAGAUGAAGUAUAGGGUCUGACACCUGCCCGGUGCCGGAAGGUUAAGGAAGGCUGUUAGCUUCGGCGAAGCAGUUAACUGAAGCCCCGGUAAACGGCGGCCGUAACAAUAACGGUCCUAAGGUAGCGAAAUUCCUUGUCGGGUAAGUUCCGACCCGCACGAAAGGCGUAACGAUUUGGGCACUGUCUCAGAGAGAGACUCGGCGAAAUAGAAUUGUCUGUGAAGAUGCGGACUACCUGCACCUGGACAGAAAGACCCUAUGAAGCUUUACUGUAGCUUGAAAUUGAAUUUGGGUUUAUUUUGCGCAGCAUAGGUGGGAGGCUAUGAUUUCAUAUUCGAGGAUAUGUAAGGAGCCAACAGUGAGAUACCACUCUAAUUAAACUAGAAUUCUAAUCUUAAUGCCGUUAUCCGGCUAAGAAACAGUUUCAGGUGGGCAGUUUGACUGGGGCGGUCGCCUCCUAAAAGGUAACGGAGGCGUGCAAAGGUUCUUUCAGACUGGUUGGAAAUCAGUCGUAGAGUAUAAAGGCAUAAAAGAGCUUGACUGCGAGACUUACAAGUCAAGCAGAGACGAAAGUCGGCCUUAGUGAUCCGACAGUACUGAGUGGAAAGGCUGUCGCUCAACGGAUAAAAGUUACUCUAGGNGAGUUCACAUCGACGGGGAGGUUUGGCACCUCGAUGUCGGCUCAUCGCAUCCUGGGGCGGUAGCACGUCCCAAGGGUUGGGCUGUUCGCCCAUGAAAGCGGUACGCGAGCUGGGUUCAGAACGUCGUGAGACAGUUCGGUCCAUAUCCGGUGCAGGCGUUAGAGUAUUGAGAGGAUUUCUCCUUAGUACGAGAGGACCGGGAGAGACAUACCGCUAGUGUACCAGUUAUUGUGCCAACAGUAAACGCUGGGUAGCUAAGUAUGGAUUGGAUAACCGCUGAAAGCAUCUAAGUGGGAAGCCUACCUCAAGAUGAUUACUCUCACCGUUUAACGGUUAAGAUCACGGCUAGAUUAGCCGUUUGAUAGGCGUCAAGUGUAAGUAUAGUAAUAUAUUCAGCUGAGACGUACUAAUAGAUCGAAGACUUGACAA